rnacentral:rRNA from 1 species
GCUUACGGCCAUACCAGCCUGGGUACGCCCGAUCUCGUCUGAUCUCGGAAGCUAAGCAGGGUCAGGCCUUGUUAGUACUUGGAUGGGAGACCGCCUGGGAAUACCAGGUGCUGUAAGCA